rnacentral:rRNA from 1 species
UACCAGCACCCCGAGUGGUCGGGACGAUUAUUGGGCCUAAAGCAUCCGUAGUCGGCCUUACAAGUCCUCCGUUAAAUCCAGCUGCUUAACAGAUGGGCUGCGGAGGAUACUAUAAGACUAGGAGGCAGGAGAGGCAAGCGGUACUCAGUGGGUAGGGGUAAAAUCCGUUGAUCCAUUGAAGACCACCAGUGGCGAAGGCGGCUUGCCAGAAUGCGCUCGACGGUGAGGGAUGAAAGCUGGGGGAGCAAACCGG